UCCCUCUCAGGGUCGCACCUGGAGAGUUUCUAGUAUUCUACCAGUCACGGCUACAGGAGGGAGAGUCAAGCAGAGGCAUACCCAUCUCUUUCCUAGCUUGGGUAGUGGCUAGUGAGUGGAAGGCAAUCUGCUACAAGU